CUCUCGCGUUCGAUGAUUUGCUGCUUCAAUAUUAUGUUGUAUCGAGUUUCUCAAUAAAGAUCGGAGUUUGAUCGGAAGACCGAAGGAAAUGGUGUAUCCCAAUCGAGCGCAUUUGGUACUUCGUGACGUGAAAGGAGAACAAACAAAAUCCUUUCAGUGAGAAGCUUGUGUUGCUUAUGGGAUCACCAGUGCUCCCUUUGGAUUGAGGCUGCCAUGAAGCUGCAUGUAGGGAAGUAAUUAUUGUAGAUGUGCAUAGGUGGGAAGGGCUCCCGUGGAGAUUACUGGUAAUAGAGCAGCCAUUGACUUUGCCUACCGAUCCUGACAACGCGAUCUUACUUUUGGAGGAUUAGCCUCCUUAGCACAGCAUUUUCAGUACUGAUUCUUGGAACUACAAAAUUAGACAAAAAGUAUCAAGCAAAAUGGUGGGUAUUUUGGUAUGCUUGGGUAUGAAACUUUUAACAUCUAGGAAAUUGACGAUUACAAUUAAGUCACAGUGUGAUUGUAGUGAGACGACUGGAAGUAUGGUGGUUUAGCAUUACUUCUAUCAUAUAUAGUUAGCACAACAUGUAUGUUGAACUUUAUGUGUAUCGAUCUUCUUUAUAGUAAAUUGUAAUGACUAUGUACUCUUUUGUAGCAGCAUUUCUAAUCUUCAUGUGUACCUGGGGCUUGCUUAAUUAUCUUAAUCAAAACAGAGUUUUUUUAAUCUAUUCCGACACUCAGAUUAGAAGUCUCAAGAAGCUGAUGCCUUGUGACAUAUAAUGUGAUGAAUUGGAUGCGCGGGUGCAUUGAUGCAUGGAAGUUGUUUCCAUAGGCCUUUAACAAAUUAACUUGUCGUUAGUCCUAAAGCAGUAUAUGGUAUGCUGUGAAUUGUCAGUGGCCUUGGGGCAUCGACAAUUUGAUAUCAAUUUUUUAUGUGAUUUUGACACGUACCAUUCUUAUCCAAACGAAAGGGCAUACAAGAACCUCUUGGAAGGAAAGACCCCCGUAAGGGGAUAAUGACUUCACUCAUGCUUAAGUUGCAUGUCACUGUUUCACACUUUUCUUUAGGAAUGUUUCACACUAAGAUCCGGUAAGUCCUGAUGUACCUUGAAGGAACCCAUGAGGAACACUGAAGGCCUUUUCUACAAAACUAGGAAUGCGGAUUUACUUUUGGUGUAACUGUCAGUGGUUUUUUCAGUACCUUCUAUCAUUUAUUAUUUGUCUAUAGAAUUCAUCACAGACCACAAAUAAAGUCUCUUCGGAUACUUUUCUUUCUAAUCAGUCCAAUUCAUCAUAUGUUGCACUUGGUGAUGGCUAUAAUCUUGAUCAUUAUAACCGCUCAUCAUUUUUACAUCACAGCAGAAGUGAAAGAUGAAAACCUGUUGGACUACUACUUGCAAAAUAGCAUUUUGACAAAGUUGAUGAAGCGUUGUUCACAUUGCUGGUUGGCACGUGCACAUCGCAACAAGAGUAGCAUGAAAACCUGUUGGACUACCUGCAAAGCACCAUUUUAGCACACUCGAUAAUGUCAUGGUUUAAAAUAUCAGUUGUACUGGCAUGUUCCUGUUGGUAGUUACCAGUCUGAUCGAGCAUAGGGAAGAAAAGGAAACAAGGAUAAGUAUCUUCUUGGCAAUGAGGAGUGGGAAAAAGUUUCAUGGCUUGCUGUCACCCGUGAAAGGGAAUUCGGUGGGCCGGACUGCCCUUACAACUGGAACUCUUGUGGAUGCUGAACCAACUAAUCAAACCACUUCAUUACACCUCCCCUUUUCUGUCUCACCCAACAUGGGUGACUCCUGCAUCUAAAACCAUUCAUGCUUGCUAACAAAGCCAACAUCACUUCUUACAUGCUCAUGACCAUCCCUCUCAUUUUCUUCCCCUCCUAGUCCAUGCUGUAUUCCUCUCUCUCCUCUUUCAUUCAUGAAGCGCUUCAUUAGAGACCAAUCGAUGGAUAGGUUCAUCAUCCUCCCGUUCUAUUGUUCCUUUUGGUUUGUAUUGUGAAACCCUGUAAGCCUAAUCAUCGCCCUUGGUGUGAUAGUUGUGUUGAAGGUGGAGAUGGUGAGAUUCAAUCCACCGGAAAGCUCAAGAACUCAUUCACUGCAGGGUUUGAGAAGCUGAUCAAGAGCUUGUCCCAGUAUUUUGUGCUUUACCAGGGAGAGGACAAAGAGGUGGGGAUGGAGAUUGGAUUUCUCACUGAUGUGGAGCAUGCUGCUCCUAUAGGUCGUGAAGGAUUCGACUCUCCAGAGUUCCUUUCCUUUUCAUUGAAGCAGUUUGAGCUGGCCAUGGUAGCACAUGUUGGUGCCUCUCCACCUCAUGGUCCCCAUGAGGUGCUUCUCACUUGAACACCUUCUUGGGUUCUUGUGUUUCUCGCAAUCUGUUGCUUGUGGUGAUAGAGAGGGGAAGCAUGUGAACUUGUAUAGCUUUCUGUGACAUGAGAAUCUAUCGACAUUUUCUGGUUCCUUUUGUCUCA